rnacentral:misc_RNA from 1 species
UCCUCCUUACAGAGGCAGUUUGUUCCGAGUCCCCGACAUUACUCGCUGGUAACAGAACAUGAGGGUUGCGCUCGUUGCGGGACUUAACCCAACAUUUCACAACACGAGCUGACAACAGCCAUGCAGCACCUGUCACUCAUCCAGCCGAACUGAAGGAAACCAUCUCUGGAAUCCGCGAUGAGGAUGUCAAACGCUGGUAAGGUUCUGCGCGUUGCUUCGAAUUAAACCACACGCUCCGCUGCUUGUGCGGGCCCCCGCCAAUUCCUUUGAGUUUUAAUCUUGCGAUCGUAGUUCCCAGGCGGUUCACUUAAUGCGUUAGCUGCGGCACCGAGGCAAAGCCCCAACACCUAGUGAACAUCGUUUAUGGCCAAGACUAC